UACGUAGGGGGCUAGCGUUGUCCGGAUUUACUGGGCGUAAAGGGAGCGUAGGCGGACUUUUAAGUGAGAUGUGAAAUACUCGGGCUCAACUUGAGUGCUGCAUUUCAAACUGGAAGUCUAGAGUGCAGGAGAGGAGAAUGGAAUUCCUAGUGUAGCGGUGAAAUGCGUAGAGAUUAGGAAGAACACCAGUGGCGAAGGCGAUUCUCUGGACUGUAACUGACGCUGAAGCUCGAAAGCGUGGGGAGCAAACAGG
rnacentral:rRNA from 1 species